rnacentral:rRNA from 1 species
UACGUAGGGGGCGAGCGUUGUCCGGAAUGACUGGGCGUAAAGGGUACGUAGGCGGCCAGAUAAGUCUGAUGUGAAAGGCAUGGGCUUAACCCGUGUUAGCAUUUGAAACUGUGUGGCUUGAGUUAAGGAGAGGAAAGUGGAAUUCCUGGUGUAGCGGUGAAAUGCGUAGAUAUCAGGAGGAAUACCAGUGGCGAAGGCGACUUUCUGGACUUAAACUGACGCUGAGGUACGAAAGCAUGGGGAGCAAACAGG